AGUGAACGCUGGCGGUAGGCCUAACACAUGCAAGUCGAACGGCAGCACAGUAAGAGCUUGCUCUUACGGGUGGCGAGUGGCGGACGGGUGAGGAAUACAUCGGAAUCUACUUUUUCGUGGGGGAUAACGUAGGGAAACUUACGCUAAUACCGCAUACGACCUACGGGUGAAAGCAGGGGAUCUUCGGACCUUGCGCGAUUGAAUGAGCCGAUGUCGGAUUAGCUAGUUGGCGGGGUAAAGGCCCACCAAGGCGACGAUCCGUAGCUGGUCUGAGAGGAUGAUCAGCCAAACUGGAACUGAGACACGGUCCAGACUCCUACGGGAGGCAGCAGUGGGGAAUAUUGGACAAUGGGCGCAAGCCUGAUCCAGCCAUACCGCGUGGGUGAAGAAGGCCUUCGGGUUGUAAAGCCCUUUUGUUGGGAAAGAAAAGCAGAAGGUUAAUACCCCGCUGUUCUGACGGUACCCAAAGAAUAAGCACCGGCUAACUUCGUG
rnacentral:rRNA from 1 species